GGAUAAGUUGCAAAUGGUUUUGCCAAUUGAUUGCAGAUCUUUAUGUUGGGGUUCGAUUCCUCCUUAUCCC
rfam:Exophiala dermatitidis NIH/TT8656 mitochondrion, whole genome shotgun sequence.